rnacentral:tRNA from 1 species
UUAAAAUAGUUUAAAAAAAAACAGUGAUUUGUGGAAUCAAAAUUUAUUUAU